rnacentral:rRNA from 1 species
GGGAUAACCCUUGCGAAAGUAAGACUAAUACCCAAUGACGUCUUCUAGAAGACAUUCUGAAAGAGAUUAAAGAUUUAUCCGUGAUGGAUGGGAUGCGUCUGAUUAGCUUGUUGGCGGGGUAACGGCCCACCCAAGGCAACGAUCAGUAGGGGUUCUGAGAGGAAGGUCCCCCACAUUGGAACUGAGACACGGUCCAAACUCCUACGGGAGGCAGCAGUGAGGAAUAUUGGUCAAUGGACGAGAGUCUGAACCAGCCAAGUAGCGUGCAGGAUGACGGCCCUAUGGGUUGUAAACUGCUUUUAUAAGGGAAUAAAGUGAGUCUCGUGAGACUUUUUGCAUGUACCUUAUGAAUAAGGACCGGCUAAUUCCGUGCCAGCAGCCGCGGUAAUACGGAAGGUCCGGGCGUUAUCCGGAUUUAUUGGGUUUAAAGGGAGCGUAGGCCGGAGAUUAAGCGUGUUGUGAAAUGUAGACGCUCAACGUCUGCACUGCAGCGCGAACUGGUUUCCUUGAGUACGCACAAAGUGGGCGGAAUUCGUGGUGUAGCGGUGAAAUGCUUAGAUAUCACGAAGAACUCCGAUUGCGAAGGCAGCUCACUGGAGCGCAACUGACGCUGAAGCUCGAAAGUGCGGGUAUCGAACAGGAUUAGAUACC